rnacentral:rRNA from 1 species
AGACCCGAAACCCGGUGAUCUAGCCAUGGGCAGGUUGAAGGUUGGGUAACACUAACUGGAGGACCGAACCGACUAAUGUUGAAAAAUUAGCGGAUGACCUGUGGCUGGGGGUGAAAGGCCAAUCAAACCGGGAGAUAGCUGGUUCUCCCCGAAAGCUAUUUAGGUAGCGCCUCGUGAAUUCAUCUCCGGGGGUAGAGCACUGUUUCGGCUAGGGGGCCAUCCCGGCUUACCAACCCGAUGCAAACUGCGAAUACCGGAGAAUGUUAUCACGGGAGACACACGGCGGGUGCUAACGUCCGUCGUGAAGAGGGAAACAACCCAGACCGCCAGCUAAGGUCCCAAAGUCAUAGUUAAGUGGGAAACGAUGUGGGAAGGCCCAGACAGCCAGGAUGUUGGCUUAGAAGCAGCCAUCAUUUAAAGAAAGCGUAAUAGCUCACUGGUCGAGUCGGCCUGCGCGGAAGAUGUAACGGGGCUAAACCAUGCACCGAAGCUGCGGCAGCGACACUGUGUGU